GACUGAGCGGCGGACGGGUGAGUAACGCGUGGGUAACCUGCCUCAUACAGGGGGAUAACAGUUAGAAAUGACUGCUAAUACCGCAUAAGACCACGGUACCGCAUGGUACAGUGGGAAAAACUCCGGUGGUAUGAGAUGGACCCGCGUCUGAUUAGCUAGUUGGUAAGGUAACGGCUUACCAAGGCGACGAUCAGUAGCCGACCUGAGAGGGUGACCGGCCACAUUGGGACUGAGACACGGCCCAAACUCC
rnacentral:rRNA from 1 species